UAUGACGGGGUAUCCGGCCUGAGAGGGUGAUCGGACACACUGGAACUGAGACACGGUCCAGACUCCUACGGGAGGCAGCAGUAGGGAAUAUUGCUCAAUGGGCGAAAGCCUGAAGCAGCAACGCCGCGUGGAGGAUGAAGGUUUUAGGAUUGUAAACUCCUUUUCUAAGAGAAGAUUAUGACGGUAUCUUAGGAAUAAGCACCGGCUAACUCCGUGCCAGCAGCCGCGGUAAUACGGAGGGUGCAAGCGUUACUCGGAAUCACUGGGCGUAAAGAGCGCGUAGGCGGGGUAAUAAGUCAGAUGUGAAAUCCUGUAGCUUAACUACAGAACUGCAUUUGAAACUGUUAUUCUAGAGUGUGGGAGAGGUAGGUGGAAUUCUUGGUGUAGGGG
rnacentral:rRNA from 1 species